AGCGAACGCUGGCGGCGUGCCUAGCACAUGCAAGUCGAACGUGAAAGGGGGCAACCCUGAGUAAAGUGGCGUACGGGUGAGUAAUGCAUAGGUAAUCUACCUUAGAAUCUGGAAUAACCUGCCGGAAGGCGGGCUAAUACUGGAUAGAGCGAGGAAUCCGUAAUUGGGUUUUUCGGGAAAGGGAGCUCGCAAGGGCCCUCGUUUUAAGAUGAGCCUAUGUUCCAUUAGUUAGUUGGUGGGGUAAUGGCCUACCAAGACGAUGAUGGAUAGCUGGUCUGAGAGGAUGAUCAGCCACACUGGAACUGAAACACGGUCCAGACUCCUACGGGAGGCAGCAGUGGGGAAUCUUGCGCAAUGGACGAAAGUCUGACGCAGCCACGCCGCGUGAGUGAAGAAGGCCUUCGGGUCGUAAAGCUCUGUCGGGCGGGACGAAAAUACAGUGGGUUAACAGCCCAUUGUACUGACGGUACCGCCAAAGGAAGCACCGGCUAACUUCGUGCCAACCGCCGCCGUAA
rnacentral:rRNA from 1 species